rnacentral:rRNA from 1 species
CCCCUCACUGGGACUGAGACACUGCCCAGACAUCUACGGAUGGCUGCAGUCGAGAAUAUUCCCCAAUGGGCGAAAGCCUGAGGGAGCGACGCCGCGUGCGGGAUGAAGGCCUUCGGGUCGUAAACCGCUUUUGCCGAGGAAGAAUCAUGACGGUACUCGGAGAAUAAGAGGUUGCUAACUCUGUGCCAGCAGCAGCGGUAAUACAGAGACCUCAAGCAUUAUCCGGAUUUAUUGGGCGUAAAGGGUCCGCAGGUGGCCAAGCGCGUCAUCGGUUAAAUGUUCGGGCUCAACCCGGACACCGCCGACGAUACGGCUAGGCUCGAGAGUGGGAGAGGCAAGCGGAAUUACCGGUGUAGUAGUAAAAUGCGUUUAUAUCGGUAAGAACACCAAAUGCGAAGGCAGCUUGCUGGAACACUUCUGACACUCAGGGACGAAAGCGUGGGUAGCGAGAGGGAUUAGAUACCCCUGUAGUCCACGCCCUAAACGAUGGAUGCUAGAUAUCGGGAGUAUCGACCCUCCCGGUGUCGGUUAAAAUAGCUAACGCAUUAAGCAUCCCGCCUGGGAAGUACGGUCGCAAGACUAAAACUCAAAGGAAUUGACGG